UACGUAGGGGGCUAGCGUUGUCCGGAUUUAUUGGGCGUAAAGAGCGUGUAGGCGGCCAGGUAGGUCCGCUGUGAAAGUCCGAGGCUCAACCUCGGAAUGUCGGCGGAAACCCUCUGGCUAGAGUCCGGAGGAGGAGAGUGGAAUUCCCGGUGUAGCGGUGAAAUGCGCAGAUAUCGGGAAGAACACCCGUGGCGAAGGCGGCUCUCUGGAACGGUACUGACGCUGAGACGCGAAAGCGUGGGGAGCGAACAGG
rnacentral:rRNA from 1 species